rnacentral:rRNA from 1 species
GGUCUGGCUGAGUGGUUUAGCUGCAAGGUUAACACUGCUUUGGUCGGAUCUUUCCUUCUAGGGAAUUAAUGUGCUCUUUACUGAGUGCGUUAAGGAUCUAGGACUGUUACUUUGAAAAAAUUAGAGUGUUUAAAGCAGGCUCACGCUUGAAUACAUUAGCAUGGAAUAACGGAAUAGGACGUUUGAUUCUAUUUUGUUGGUUUCUAGGAUCGACGUAAUGAUUAAUAGGGAUAGUUG